rnacentral:lncRNA from 1 species
UUUCUCAGGGUUCUUUUUUUGUUUGUUUGUUUCUAGUCUGGAUCAUCUGGAAUUUGUGAGGAAGGGAAGAGGAGCCUUUGCUCAGCUUGUAGAAGCUUGGAAACUGUUUCCUGGGAAUUACCUCCGCCUGCUGUCGCCCAGCCACUGCAGGACUUUGAGUUUACAGACAAGCUGCAGUAGAUGAACUGUGAAGAGAGACGGUGAGGAUUUGAUCUGAUGCACUGAAGCAUACGGGAUUUUAAAAGACCUGGUGAAUCCUGAUCUACCUGACUCGACAUGAUUUGUUACUGACCUCAGUGAAGCCAGGAUUUUACUGUGAUGUAUGUUUGCUGCCUGGAAGAGAAUUUGAUUAGACUCCAGGAAUUUCCUUACAUUUUGAGGAGAAUGGAUGUGAGGCAGCACUGGGGCAUGGCA